GAUGAACGCUGGCGGCGUGCCUAAUACAUGCAAGUCGAGCGAACAGACGAGGAGCUUGCUCCUCUGACGUUAGCGGCGGACGGGUGAGUAACACGUGGAUAACCUAUCUAUAAGACUGGGAUAACUUCGGGAAACCGGAGCUAAUACCGGAUAAUAUAUUGAACCGCAUGGUUCAAUAGUGAAAGACGGUUUUGAUGUCACUUAUAGAUGGAUCCGCGCCGCAUUAGCUAGUUGGUAAGGUAACGGCUUACCAAGGCAACGAUGCGUAGCCGACCUGAGAGGGUGAUCGGCCACACUGGAACUGAGACACGGUCCAGACUCCUACGGGAGGCAGCAGUAGGGAAUCUUCCGCAAUGGGCGAAAGCCUGACGGAGCAACGCCGCGUGAGUGAUGAAGGUCUUCGGAUCGUAAAACUCUGUUAUUAGGGAAGAACAAAUGUGUAAGUAACUAUGCACGUCUUGACGGUACCUAAUCAGAAAGCCACGGCUAACUACGUG
rnacentral:rRNA from 1 species